rnacentral:rRNA from 1 species
AAUCAACGCUGGCGGCGUGCCUCAGACAUGCAAGUCGAACGCGAAAGGCUCCUUCGGGGGCCGAGUAGAGUGGCGCACGGGUGAGUAACACGUAGGUAAUUUGCCUUUGGGUGGGGAAUAACUCAGGGAAACUUGAGCUAAUACCGCAUAAUGCAGCGGCUCGACAUCGAGACAGUUGUUAAAGCGGGGAUUCGCAAGAACCUCGCGCCUGAAGAGAAGCCUGCGG